CCUACGGGAGGCAGCAGUAGGGAAUCUUCGGCAAUGGACGAAAGUCUGACCGAGCAACGCCGCGUGAGUGAAGAAGGUUUUCGGAUCGUAAAACUCUGUUGUUAGAGAAGAACGUUAAGUAGAGUGGAAAGUUACUUAAGUGACGGUAUCUAACCAGAAAGGGACGGCUAACUACGUGCCAGCAGCCGCGGUAAUACGUAGGUCCCGAGCGUUGUCCGGAUUUAUUGGGCGUAAAGCGAGCGCAGGUGGUUUCUUAAGUCUGAUGUAAAAGGCAGUGGCUCAACCAUUGUGUGCAUUGGAAACUG
rnacentral:rRNA from 1 species